rnacentral:rRNA from 1 species
GACGAACGCUGGCGGCGUGCUUAACACAUGCAAGUCGAGCGAGGCCCCUCCUUCGGGAGGGUGUCCUAGCGGCGAACGGGUGAGUAACACGUGGGCAACCUGCCCUCAGCUCUGGGAUAACUCCGGGAAACCGGGGCUAAUACCGGAUACGACCUCCACGGGCAUCUGCGGAGGUGGAAAGUUUUUCGGCUGAGGAUGGGCCCGCGGCCUAUCAGCUAGUUGGUGGGGUAGUGGCCCACCAAGGCGACGACGGGUAGCCGGCCUGAGAGGGCGACCGGCCACCCUGGGACUGAGACACGGCCCAGACUCCUACGGGAGGCAGCAGUGGGGAAUAUUGCGCAAUGAGCGCAAGCCUGACGCAGCGACGCCGCGUGAGGGACGAAGGCCUUCGGGUUGUAAACCUCUUUCAGCAGGGACGAAGCGAAAGUGACGGUACCUGCAGAAGAAGCACCGGCCAACUACGUG